rnacentral:rRNA from 1 species
AGCAGCCGCGGUAAUUCCAGCUCCAAUAGCGUAUAUUAAAGUUGUUGCAGUUAAAAAGCUCGUAGUUGAAUUUCGGGACCAAUUUGUUGGUCGUGCCUCGGUACGUACUGGUAUUAUUGGUUUCUCCCUUCUGAAGAACCUCGAUGUCAUUAAUUUGGUGUCGUGGGGAAUCAGGACUGUUACUUUGAAAAAAUUAGAGUGUUUAAAGCAGGCAUACGCUUGAAUACAUUAGCAUGGAAUAAUGAAAUAGGACGUUUGAUUCUAUUUUGUUGGUUUCUAGGAUCGACGUAAUGAUUAAUAGGGAUAGUUGGGGGCAUUAGUAUUCAAUUGUCAGAGGUGAAAUUCUUGGAUUUAUUGAAGACUAACUACUGCGAAAGCAUUUGCCAAGGAUGUUUUCAUUAAUCAAGAACGAAAGUUAGGGGAUCGAAGACGAUCAGAUACCGUCGUAGUCUUAACCAUAAACUAUGCCGACUAGGGAUCGGAUGAUGUUAAUUUUUAAUGACUCAUUCGGCGCCUUACG